UAUGCACCUGAAACUGGCCAUUAUGGCACAGAUGUCUUGGUUUCUUAAUGCGUAACCCUUUUCUGGGGAAGGGAAUUGAAGAAUUUACAGAUUCAGAGACAUAAUGGAGGCACAAUCCCAGCCAUGCCAGGAUAAAAAUGCCAGAGGGCCACCUUAAAUUUGGCCUCAAGCCUCAUCAUCAUAAUUCAGGGGAAGCAGGAAUAUUGAAGAUCAUAUGUGAUAAUGAGACAUCAGAGAAAACCUCUGUCGGUUCCAAUGAAUGAAGAAGAAGAACUGUAUAUUGUAUUGCGCCUGAACUUACUAUCAAUUUUGAGAAUUUCUUGCAUGUUUUGCAACUGAUUAACUGCCAGAAAUGUAAUAUGUCAUGCAAGAUAAGCAAGGCUUUGCUGACUAGGUUAAAAGUUUAAUAACGGAUGAGAAAAUAUGAUGUGGAGCAUGUACUGCCAAGGUUCUCCUGUAUUAUAGGAUUAAGUAACUAUUUAUGCUUCUCAUAAAAAUUAGAAUUACUACUGGACUUAACAUUUAGUGCUAACAUUUUAAAUUUUUGAGUGCUUAAUGUGAUUUGUAAAAAUGUAUUCACUACCAAAAUAAGCUUGGCAUUUUAUUAUUAUUGACGACAAGACAUAUAACAUAAUUACCAAAAAGAUGUUCUUCAUGGUGUGGUGGUUUGGGGAUGCAGUUCAGUUUAAUGACUUAAAUAUGAUCGGCAGACAUUGGGAUGGAAUAGGGAAGGAAUUAGAUACUGGGCAAUGUGCUGGAAAUUCUUGAUGUGCCUAUGGCCUUGACUUCAUAAACUUUCCUGACUGUUAUUUCAGGCUAAUUCAAAAUGUCAAAAGUUUAAGCAGAUUACUCAACCUUGAGCUGUCUCCUCUAUCUGUUCAGUCACCAAGAUUGCUUUUUUCUUCCUGUGCAACAUUGCUCAACCUCCACCUCCGUCAUCAUUAAAACCCUAUUAUCACCUC